rnacentral:ncRNA from 1 species
AGCAAUAACCAGGUCCGUGAUGCCCUUUAGAUGCUCUGGGCUGCACGCGUGCUACAAUGUUAGGAUCAAUAGGACUGCGAGCAGAGAGGGUGCGCUACUCUUAUAAUCCCUAACGUAGUUGGGAUUGACGUUUGUAAUCAGCGUCAUGAACCAGGAAUCCCUUGUAAAUGUGUGUCAACAACGCACGUUGAAUACGUCCCUGCCCUUUGUACACACCGCCCGUCGCUCCUACCGAUUGGAUGACUCGGUGAAAUCACCGGAUGCUUACGAGCAGAAAGUGAUUAAAUCACGUUAUCUAGAGGAAGGAGAAGUCGUAACAAGGUAACGGUAGGUGAACCUGCCGUUGGAUCAGUU